CGUUAACUGAUUCCAUAUGACCAACAACCGUCACGGCAAAUGGUUGCCAACUUCGGUCAACUGGCUGGCAUGAGAUUUUCAAUUCAAGUCUUUACGUGACAAAGGACCCCAGCAUUUUAAAUUCCAUUCAUGGUUCUGAGUGCGGAUGGGACCGUGUGAAGCCAAAGGACACAGAGUGAGUAUGUCAGGUCCACUUUUUGCCAGGAAAGAAGUGAGUUGUAGAAGCUUAGCAUGCUAUUCAUUAACCAAGGUCAACUGAUGCCUUUAAAUGUUUGUAAAGAUAAGUUUGUUAUCCGUGGGAAAAUCCACGCGAAAUUCUCAUAAGAACUUCGGUCAGCUGCCUUUACUCAGUGAGGGUCCUGAGUUUGACUUUGGAUUUUAUGGUGUGUUUACCAACACGUACUUUUCCUGAUUGCAAAAUAUGUAUUUUGAUAAAUACUUUCGUAACUUAACAGCCUUUUCACACAAAAGUUAGAAUGUUUAGACUUUUGAAUGGAUUUCCGAAAAAUGCCGUUUGUCAUCCAGCUGUUACAUUUCUAGGAGUUUCUAAUUCUCCUUUGUAACAAAAGAUUUAAAAAUAAGAAAAGCAUAUGGAUCACUAGUCAUCAUUCUAGACAUUUUUCGAUUUCAUUUUGUACUUUAUAAUUGGCUGGUACCUACUAUUAAAUAUUAUAACUGGCCUGAAUCUUCUUUAAAAGCUGUGUUCUGACCUUGUUUUCAGUUUGCCUAGUUAUCUGUAAUUGAGAUGUCUUUUGAAAUUACACUGAUGACAGUCUAAAGUGUUAUCACAGGGUGGAAAUGAUUAAAUGCAAUGGGUCUGUAAUUUAAGUACACAUUUACCAGAAGAUCUGAAUGUUAUGAUAAAGUAUCUCUGAGGAUUUUGUUUUUAAAAAAACUGACAUCAAAGAGAACUGACACCACCAUACAGAUACUGAGAUCAUUGCAACCCCAUUAAAAACUAGUUCAAGUUCCUAGCCAGUUUGCAUAGCUUUUAUAGUUUUGGUUAAUGUUUGUUUAGCAUUAAUCAUUCAUUGAAAAGGGUCUAGGGAGGCACCCUCCUUUUUCAACCUCUUGAACAAUCACAUUUUUGAGUUCUGAGUGAUAAUGGACUUGUAUUUAAUGAGACAAGCUGCUGACUGGCCCCAAAGCAGCUUAUGCUUGUGUCCUUGGUCCGGGUGCUAAGGGUUUUAGUUUUAAGGCAAUCACAGCUGAAACUAGUCCCAGUCACCCAAGCAGUCUGGAGUACCCCUCCACUGUUGACUCAUGGGUGACUCAGCAUGAUGUCACACCUACUUCAGGAGGCAUGGCAACAAUUCACAAAUGGGCAGAGGUGGCGUGACCAAGUCCAAGAGUCUAAAGGCAAGCAUACAGGCAGUUAAGCAUGAUAUUAGAUCCUAAUCUUCCAUUCUGUGCAGAAAAACUGAGGUUCAAAGGUUAGCUAGGGCCUUGGGCACGCUGAACUGUGGAGUCUAACAAGAAAACAAGUAUUUAUGACCCUAGAAAAAGCAUUUAGCUUCUUUCUGCUUUUCCUAACUUGACACAUGAAGUGUGAGUAAGCAUGGACAGUGAUGCUGGACAGUCCAUCCAGGUGGCACACUUGU